GGGAUGCGGCUCCCCCGGUCCGGGCGUGCCGAAACCCGCGCUGCCUCCGAAGAAGCUUUUCUUCCACGCCCCGUGCCCACAUGCCCACAUGCUCGCGUGUUUGUGCGGUUUCCCCCUCCCUCUGUAGCGGAACUUGAUUUACAACGAAGCAGGCGCGGCUGUAGAGGAAGACAAGCGCUACUUCUGCUUAAUCCGAUCGAAGGAUCGCAGUUAAUCAGUAAUUUUACAAAACGAUAUGUCAAAAUCGUGUAAUUACAAGCUUAACCUUUUAUUUAAGGAGGAGAAUUGGUCGUUUUAUGCCACGUUUGUAGCGUUUUAUACAUCCAAUUACGUCUCGGUGAAAUAUACAUAGAAAAGAAGGACUGAUAAAGUGCAAAGUUGUGUUUGUAUACGCAGCACCCUUCGAAUUUGAAAUUGUGCUUUCUAAAAUACACUGAUUUUUUUUUUGAAAAAGUAUGUUUAUAGACCUGCUAGUUCAUGGUGGUACUGCGUGCUGUGCUUUUAAUACUGUUGUGCAGAUACAAACCUCAGCAAGCAGCUCCAUCCAAAAAUGAUGCAAAAUCUGAUUGCUGCUUCUUCCCUUGGAAAUGAAGUUUUGAUUUAUUAGCCUAAUACUUUAAGUUUUAUCCAGUAACAUGAAUGAUUCCUCCAGUGAAGCGAGUAUCUUUGAUUUCCCAUGUUUCCUCCAUGUCAUAACAUAUUUCUUUGUAUGUUAUUUGCAGAGUGAAGCUCUUUUUGAUUCACAUCUGGUUGUAUCAUGACUACACUAAAGUCAAACCAUACUACUGCAUGAAUAACUUUGGAGUGGAUUAUCUCUUGCAGUUCAUGUAACGAAUGACUGCACACGCCAUCCAAAUGGGCAAAUAGCUGGUGUAUCAGAGACUUUAAAAGAUUUUUAAAAGUCAAGAUUUGUUUUAGUGUAAUUGAAAUACAUCUGGGGAUUAUAUUUCUCAUAUGUAUGUGUAAAUAUGAAGAGAGCAGUUCCUACUGUUUGCCUUCCUACAGCUCUUCCACUUCAUGGCCUCAGGGGCAAAGACUGCUUUCCCAGCCUGCCUGCUAUGUGGCAUUAGAUGCUACAGCCUUCUUGCAAACAUAUGCUGCUUCAAGCAAGAAAAAUCUUUUGUGUACACGGGGGUUGACUGGGGUCCUCAAGAAGGCGGCUUAGUGUUUUGGUGGCAUCUCCAUAAAGGGUUUCCAGACAGAAAAGUUUUCUCCAUCCUUAACACCAUCCUUACAGAAACUCUGUUCAGGAAAGGGGCAGGAAUCAGGAUGCUAUGAGAUGGUCUGCAAGAUGGGUGCCAUCUGCACUGAGGUUUCAUGCUUUUGCAGCAGCUAUAUUCUUUCAAAAUCUUGUUUCAUGUGGGAAUGAAUGGUAUAUUGGGGAGGUCUGCAGUGUGUAUAAUGAAUACAGAGUCAUUUUUUCAUACAAGGAUACAAGCCAGAAUAUAUCUCUGCAGGAGAAUAGAAUAAAAUUGUGGGUUUCUGUCUGUUAAAAAUACAUGGAAGAAUAACAGUCCUACUGUGCUAGUGAUGAUGUAGGAGCAAAGCGCCCAGGAUGGUCUAAGAUGUAGGAAGCGUGCUGAACUUUGUAAGGAAUGUGAGCUGGCUCUUGUAAUUGUAACUCCUUUAUUCAUUUUGUUGGGGAAAAUGCAUUAACAUUUGUUUGUUUCCAUUAGUGACCUGCAGCCUUUGUUUUUUGCAAUACAUGUUUGAGUUAAACUUCUUCAGCUCCGAGGAAGUCAGGAAGCUGCAGACAGCAUGUGGAUAAGAAAGUGCACCGCCUCAGUACAGAGAGGGAGUGUGUAGAGAAACCUGGCAUUGCCACCUCAGUUAAGCAAGUUCCCGUAGUCAAGUGGUAUAUGGUAUUGAAUAUUAUGCGUAAUUGUUUUAUUACUGCUAAUUGUUUUUAGCAAAGUCUCCAAGUCUCCACCCUCUUUUCUGGCUGUAACUGGUGAAUAUUCUUGAGUGUGAGAUGUUCCCUUGAAAAAGCUGUAAAGUACUGCCAAGAAGCCAAGUGAACCACUUAGGCAUUUCCUUCACCUUAAAAUAUGACACAACAAGAAAAGGCAUCAUAUUACCUGUCCUUUUGGGAAUUGUGGCAGAUAUGGUCUUCCUGAGACUUUACAACAUCAAUUCACUGGUUAAUGCAUUUGGACUCACAAAAAAGUGGAUAAGUGGUCCCGUCCUUUGGUUUGGAUCCUCUGGAAUAAUUAAUGUACUCGUUGGUUAUAGAGUGUAAAGUCAGUUUACAAGAACAAAUAAAGAACAAAAAGGACUUUCUGGAGUACACGCAA